rnacentral:rRNA from 1 species
GACGAACGCUGGCGGCGUGCUUAACACAUGCAAGUCGAACGAGAGCGUAGAGAAAGCUUGCUUUUUCUACAAUCUAGUGGCAAACGGGUGAGUAACGCGUAAACAACCUGCCCUACGGAUGGGGACAACAGCUGGAAACGGCUGCUAAUACCGAAUACGUUCCGAAAGUCGCAUGACUAUCGGAAGAAAGGAUGGCCUCUAUUUAUAAGCUAUCGCCGGAGGAGGGGUUUGCGUCGGAUUAGCUAGUUGGAGGGGUAACGGCUCACCAAGGCGACGAUCAGUAGCCGGUCGGAGAGGAUGAACGGCCACAUUGGGACUGUGACACGGUCCAGACUCCUACGGGAGGCAGCAGUGGGGAAUCGUCCGCAAUGGGCGAAAGCCUGACGGAGCAACGCCGCGUGAGUGAAGACGGCCUUCGGGUUGUAAAGCUCUGUUAUACGGGACGAAUAAUCUUGUGGUUAAUACCCAUGAGAAGUGACGGUACCGUAAGAGAAAGCCACGGCUAACUACGUG